rnacentral:rRNA from 1 species
GACGAACGCUGGCGGCGUGCCUAAUACAUGCAAGUAGAACGCUGAAGGAGGAGCUUGCUUCUCUGGAUGAGUUGCGAACGGGUGAGUAACGCGUAGGUAACCUGCCUGGUAGCGGGGGAUAACUAUUGGAAACGAUAGCUAAUACCGCAUAAGAGUAGAUGUUGCAUGACAUUUGCUUAAAAGGUGCAAUUGCAUCACUACCAGAUGGACCUGCGUUGUAUUAGCUAGUUGGUGGGGUAACGGCUCACCAAGGCGACGAUACAUAGCCGACCUGAGAGGGUGAUCGGCCACACUGGGACUGAGACACGGCCCAGACUCCGACGGGAGGCAGCAGUAGGGAAUCUUCGGCAAUGGACGGAAGUCUGACCGAGAAACGCCGCGUGAGUGAAGAAGGUUUUCGGAUCGUAAAGCUCGGUUGUAAGAGAAGAACGAGUGUGAGAGUGGAAAGUUCACACUGUGACGGUAUCUUACCAGAAAGGGACGGCUAACUACGUG